GGGUGACUAGUCUAGUGGUUAGGACGGUUCGUUGUGGCUAUGCGUGCUCUUCGACUAAUUCAGCUCGGAGGGUGCGUAUGGUUCCUCCCCGAACAAACCCCGGUUCGAUUCCGGGGUCGCCCA